CAAGGUUUAUCAUGAGCUCAGCAAGAUGACAGCCAGCUGCACUGAACUAGGACCAUACAGGCUGGAUGCAGCAAGCUUUUAUGUUAGUGGUUAUAAUGAACUUCAGCCUGGACUAUCUGCUGAUUCAACUACCCCACCUCUGUCACCAGCAAUAAGGAAUUUCACAUUGAAUUUCACCAUAACCAACUUCCAGUUCACUGCAGAGCUGGCAAUGCCAAACUCAAAAAAAUUCAAGUCAACAGAAAAAAUCAUGUAUUAUUAUGUAAGUGUGGC
rnacentral:lncRNA from 14 species